rnacentral:ncRNA from 2 species
CUUCAUGAGAUGUCGUCGCCAAGCUCCGACUGGACGGCACGCCAACCCCACGCUCGUGGGUGGCUCGGAUGACGAAGCGGCUGGCACCAACCGGUGACAGCAAGAGCGCCUC